rnacentral:rRNA from 1 species
AUUGAACGCUGGCGGCAUGCCUUACACAUGCAAGUCGAACGGUAACAGGUUAAGCUGACGAGUGGCGAACGGGUGAGUAAUAUAUCGGAACGUGCCCAGUCGUGGGGGAUAACUGCUCGAAAGAGCAGCUAAUACCGCAUACGACCUGAGGGUGAAAGCGGGGGAUCGCAAGACCUCGCGCGAUUGGAGCGGGCGAUAUCAGAUUAGGUAGUUGGUGGGGUAAAGGCUCACCAAGCCAACGAUCUGUAGCUGGUCUGAGAGGACGACCAGCCACACUGGGACUGAGACACGGCCCAGACUCCUACGGGAGGCAGCAGUGGGGAAUUUUGGACAAUGGGCGCAAGCCUGAUCCAGCCAUGCCGCGUGCGGGAAGAAGGCCUUCGGGUUGUAAACCGCUUUUGUCAGGGAAGAAAAGGUUCUGGUUAAUACCUGGGACUCAUGACGGUACCUGAAGAAUAAGCACCGGCUAACUACGUGCCAGCAGCCGCCGUAAUAC